UUUUGGUCCUACAUGACUUUCUAGGUCCCAACUGAAAGAUCCCACGCAGAGAGACCCUUACUCAAGUCUUGGGAAAUCGCGGACCCCAGACACAGAGAGACCA
rnacentral:pre_miRNA from 14 species